GAUGAACGCUGGCGGCGUGCCUAAUACAUGCAAGUCGAGCGAACAGAGGAGGCUCUUGCCUCGCUUACGCGAGGGGCGGACGGGUGAUGAACACGAGGAUAACCGACCGAUAGGACUAACAUAACGUCGGGGGAGCGGAGAUAACACCGGACAAGAGAGUGAACGGGAGGGUUCAUCGGAGAAAGCGGGAUUUGCUGACCCUGAGUCAUAUUAGCUAGUUGGUGUGGUAACGGCGUACCAAGGCGACGAUCCGUAACUGGCCUGAGAGGCUGAUCAGCCACACUGGAACUGAGACACGGUCCAGACUCCUACGGGAGGCAGCAGUAGGGAAUCUUCCGCAAAGGGCGAAAGCCUGACGGAGCCACGCCGCGUGUGUGAUGAAGGUCUUCGGAUCGUAAAGCUCUGUUAGUAGGGAGGAACAAAUGUGUAUGUAACUCUGCACGUCUUGACGUUACCUACUCAGAAAGCCACGGCUAACUACGUG
rnacentral:rRNA from 1 species